rnacentral:rRNA from 1 species
UACGGAGGGUCCAAGCGUUAUCCGGAAUCAUUGGGUUUAAAGGGUCCGUAGGCGGUUUUGUAAGUCAGUGGUGAAAGCCCAUCGCUCAACGGUGGAACGGCCAUUGAUACUGCAAGACUUGAAUUAUUGGGAAGUAACUAGAAUAUGUAGUGUAGCGGUGAAAUGCUUAGAGAUUACAUGGAAAUACCAAUUGCGAAGGCAGGUUACUACCAAUAUAAUUGACGCUGA